rnacentral:lncRNA from 1 species
CGAGAGAAUAUCAAAUGGAGUCUUAUUUAUAUGUCAACUGAUAUUUUUCUAGUGGGAGUUAUGUAAGUAAUCCUUUAACCUGAGAUCAUCAUGGUACCUUAUGUACUUGGAUCCAUAUUUUGGUUCACCACCUAACAUGGUUCUUUGAUCUUUGUGUGGGGUAUUUUUGAUAUGGUGAAGUGUGCAUGGAGGUUGUGAG